rnacentral:rRNA from 1 species
GACGAACGCUGGCGGCGUGCCUAAUACAUGCAAGUCGAGCGAAGCGGCGGAUGGGUGAGUAACGCGUGGGUAACCUGCCCUUAAGUCUGGAAUACCAUUUGGAAACAGAUGCUAAUACCGGCUACUAAAGGAUGGACCUGCGAUGCAUUAGCUAGUUGGUAAGGUAACGGCUUACCAAGGCGAUGAUGCAUAGCCGAGUGGAGAGACGGAGCGGCCACCUUGGGACGGAGACACGGCCAAAACUCCUAGGGGAGGCAGCAGUAGGGAAUCUUCGGCAAUGGACGAAAGCCGGACCGAGCAACCCCGCGUGAGUUAAGAAGGUUUUCGGAUCGUAAAACUCUGUUGUUAGAGAAGCGGUAUCUAACCAGAAAGCCACGGCUAACUACGUGCCAGCAGCCGCGGUAAUUC